AUUGAACGCUGGCGGCAGGCCUAACACAUGCAAGUCGAACGAGUGGCGGACGGGGGAGUAAUGUCAGGGAAAAUGCCAGAUGGAGGGGGAUAACUACUGGAAACGGUAGAUAAUACCGCAUACCAUCGGAUGUGCCCAGAUGGGAUUAGCUAGUAGGUGGGGUAAAGGCUCAGCUAGGCGACGAUCCCUAGCUGGUCUGAAAGGAUGACCAGCCACACGGGAACGUGGACACGGUCCAGACUCCGACGGGAGGCAUUAGUGGGGAAUAUUGCACAAUGGGCGCAAGCCUGAUGCAGCCAUGCCGCGUGUAUGAAGAAGGCCUUCGGGUUGUAAAGUACUUUCAGCGGGGAGGCGUUACCCGCAGAAGAAGCACCGGCUAACUCCGUGCCAGCAGCCGCGGUAAUAC
rnacentral:rRNA from 1 species